GUCCACAACAUGGAGGGAUCCUGAUGAGUGACAGGCCGC
rnacentral:antisense_RNA from 1 species